UCGAGGUCGAGGUCAAUCUCCAGCUCCUCAUCCCCGAAGUCCCCAAGCAGGAGGUCCUGUUCGUCGUCCAGGCAGAAGGCCGCGUCCGAGACGUCCAGCGCGUCCAGCCCGGCGCGGAAGUCCAUCGGGUCGAUGUCGGGCAGCUGCAGGCCGCGCAGAAGGUCCUGGUAGAACUCUGGGUCGUCCGGCAGCUGCGCAGCAGAUUCAGUGGACGGCGGCAGGACGACGGGUGUUGGUGUCGCGACCGGCUCUGGAGACUCGGGGUUCGGCGCUGCUGCCUUGGUGGUGGAUUCGAGCACGGACGACGGCGACGGGUGCGCGAACGGAGCAGUCGAGGUGGACGACGAAGAGGACGCCGUCGGGGUAGCGCUUGCCGAAGUAGCAGGUGAGGAAGCGGAAGCGGGCACAGCCUGCCCGCGGCGGCGCCGCUUCUCGUCGGCGAAGCUCCGGGAGGCGGAAAGGUAGGCAGCGGAGGCCGCACCGGCGGUGUCGAAGGUGCCAAGCCACUGCCUCUUGCCGGUGAACGGGUUGCGGAUCUCCGCCGC
rnacentral:lncRNA from 1 species